CCCGGCCUCGCGGAAGGGGCGCGACCACCGUAUGUCCUGUUCCUGCGCUUCCCAGCGAGUUAAACGUAGGGGCGGGGGAGUUUCUCUGGCCCUGCGGCCUGUGACCUAAGGAGCCCCGUGACCUCUCCGACCCGAGCCCACCCCCGGCCCAGUCUGCGAGCAGCUCCGGGACAAGCACUCCCGGCGAAGACAUGUAGGCUCUCAGAGCCUGCGUUUCCCUCUGUAGAGCAGGCCCAGUUACUGUCUUCAGGGUGCACGCGUCUCCGUCCGAGAUGAUUUCUUAAACAACCAGAAGAUACUGCAGGUUCAAAGUCCUGGAGGCCAGAAGGAGCUUGUAUUCAAAUAAGAAAAUGUAUUUUCUCAAGGAAAUAUA
rnacentral:lncRNA from 1 species